ACCUUCAGUUCAGUUAGGUUCAGUACCCCCGUCAUUCCCUAGCUUCGAGGACAUAAACACUUGCAACUCCUUCUCCAGCUCCAAAAGCUGUGUGUUGGUGUUGUCGGUCCUCAGACGGCGUGAACCUCUCCCGAAGAUGACGACGGCCUAUGCGCUCGGGAGAGUUUGGAACAGAGGCAGUGUGUCCACCAGGCCACAUUAAAAAUUGCUAUGGAUACACUGCUCUCUGCUCUCCUGAAACAAGAUUAAGGACAUAUUUUAAACCGAGUGACACUGCAGUUGAUCUAUUACAGCGCGUAGUGGAAGUACGAAAAAGGUACGGUACGGAAAGAGUAACCCCAUACAGUAUUUCGUAUUUCUUCACUAUUAAAUAUUAAAAUGUACGCAAAAGCGUUGUUAGAUAAAGUCAAUAAAAAUGGUGUAACAAAGCCUGUAAAUGAUCGUAGAUUUAAAUGGGUUUGAGUUGUUUUAAAAUUACAGAACAUGGUAGAAUAGCUUUUGAAGUCUUCUUUAAGGCAUCAUUUCAUUCUUUAACGCAUCAUUUUUCAAGUAGUGCGAAUUGUCUUUUCUCUAUACGGGUUUCUUUGGUCUUGCGCGUGAAGACUGGACCUUUUCGUCCAUGCCCUUUUCCUGUAUGCCCGGCUAUUACGGCGGUAACAGAGUCGGCCACGUCGAUGCGGGUUCACGAAACUCAGGCUAUAGGAAAUGUGUUCACGAAGUGAUAAGCGCCUGAGAACGCGCAAAUCCCCUAAAUGAUGACCUCUAAAAGCCUCAUCAAUAAGAGUUACAGAUGUCAGGCACGCAUCUCGCAAGGCAAGCCCGGGUUCAUUUCAUGGCUUCCUGUUACAAGAGGAGGACGUUUCUCUCGCUUGAGGGUGCUUUAAACACUAUGGCCAGGCGAUCAUAAGUGUCCUAUCAGAUAAAUUCCGUUUAUUUGGGCCAAUAAAAGUAUCUACCUUAGUUCAUGGAAACAUAUUUGAUAUUGCACCGACAAAUGAUAAAUAUUAGUUUUAUUAGACAAUUUUUGGUUUCAACACAACUGGAAGCAAAAACUUUUUAAAAUUUAGAUACCUUGCUGUAUUUUUGCGGUGGAAUAUGGCUUUUAUAUCGCAACAUAAUACACUAAUACAUAAUGUUAUAAUAGUAGUAUUUCCCUUGCAAUAGUAUUCUAGUAAAUAAUUAAAUGGGACAAGAGUAAACCAUUGUUACUUUAUAACACCGGCUAGAACAUUUUACAUUUGAACCCAUGACCAAACAGCCUUGUCUAAAAAAUUAAAGAACCUAUAUGAUCAGCUCGCAAAAUUACCUGCAAUAAUAAUAGCAUAUAUUAUAAGCCAAAUAACUACUGAGUUCUAGACAUAUAGACUUGUGUACUUGUGUGGUAGAGAUUUCAAUUUGAACAAUUAUGUUAUUGUGUCUGUUUGAGGUCCACAAAAAGAACAUUAUCUGUUAAUUUACUUUAAAUCUAACGUAUUACGCAGACAACGUUAUGUGACUCUGCGUGUCUUAUAUUAUAAAACCAAAAUAAUUAUCAUGAUUGGGGUAUAUGAGAAGCAUUAUAUAAUUUAUCAAUACAACACAAUAUAGCAAAGGUUAUUUAUAUGAGGGGUCGUUUUUAAACAUGCUGUUUCUGUUGCUUAUUUUAAAACGUGAACCGAAAGACCAUGCCGGCUGAUCGCUGUUUUAGAGCUUGUAUACUAAACAAAGAGCCAUGGAAGCCUGCGCGUGAUCAAUCUUACUCACCAAAAGGUCUGACAACAUCGCACUCCCACAACAUAUUUCAGCUCUCUUACUCUGACCAAGAUCCAAUACAGCCAGAAAGGGACCAAGAAGACACUACAAACAUUAUCUCCUGUUUUAUUCUUUUUUACACUCGAACUCAAACAAAUUCUCUUUGGAUAUAACAAUAUUAAUGGAAAUAUAUAAGUGGUGAGUACUUUAAAUACAACUGCAUUAUUCAGUUUUCUGGUACAAUCUCUGGAAAUAUUCUGUUCAAUGAAAUUUAUUUAAAUGUUUGUUUGUUUUUUCGUUUUUGUCUUAAAUAUUUUGAGUCAUCAUUCUGCGACAGGACAAUUUAAGCUGGCUUUUGCAGUAGGAGGCUAGUUGAAGAUCUCUUGAUUUUUUACCCACUGAAAGCACGACACAAGUUCUUGCUCUGGCUUGCUCUACUCAUCAAAGAUGAUAAAACUGCUGUAAAAAUACUGGUGAAUGCUCUUUAGUACACUUGAAAAUGAUCUUUUCGUUCAGUGGAAAUUGUACAAAAAAAAUAUGCUAAACACAAAGAAGCUUAGAGUAUGCAAGCUUAAACAGGCUUAUGCAUAAAUAUGUAAACAGACUGAACUGUAAAUAGACAAUUAAGCUCUUUUUGGUCAUGUAAAUCAUUUAUUAUUCUUACAGAAAAUUUGUGAAUAGAAUAAAUAUUUGCCAAAAAAAGCUGCAAUUAUUCAGGAGAUGAAUGACAACCUUAUAAUGUUGUGGUAUAACAUUCAACACUUUGCUCAAUGUUUGUGUUGCUUAUGACACACGUUUGCAGGGCGUUAACUUUUUUUCUGGAAUAGUGUAAAAAUGUUAGAAGAACUUUUCAUCUUAAAUUCUUCUCCACUCACAGGCACACACAUGGUCCUGGGAAGCUGUCAACAUGUAAUGGAUGUGUCUGCUCGGAGGAUCUCUCUAAUGUCUCUAAUGUUGGACCUCAACACAGCUGCGAGAUGCGAGAAUUUACUGAACAUCACUUUGUGAACAAACAAUUUGUAAAAUUUUGAUUCAAAGAUAAUUAUAUCUUAAUAUUUAUAUCUAAAAUGCACAAAAUAAAAAUAUUUUUUAAAGACAGUUUUAUAUUCAUUGACUAUACCUUUUAAAUCUGGAUAUUCAAAUUAUUAGCCUCACAAACAGCAUAUUGUUCUGAAUAAUUAAAAUUGAUUUUCCAUAUCAAAUGAGAAAAACUUCUAUUGAAACAUGCUGAGUUGGGUGAGUCCGUUGUCUAUUUGGUGCAUCUAUGUCUUUCAUAUUUUAAUGAUGCAUCCAGAUGUGCCAUUUGUUGUGAAUAUGUUUUGAGGUAAGUACGUGAGAAAUGUAAGACAUUUGAAAAAAGCACCACAUUUUGCAGGAAACUUUAUAUGCUCAUAGAACCUAAAUAAUUAGUUUUUAUAGUGACUUACCCUUGGUGUAUUCUUUACAAAAUUUUGGUCAGUUUCAUAUUUGAUAUUUGAAUUGUGGUUAAAAGUGUU